UGUUCCUUCUCAAUCUGUUGUUGCUGCCUCUAAUUCAAGUAGUCAUGUUUCCUUUAGCCUCUAGCAUUCUCACUUAAGUCAUGCCUCUUUAUCAAAAUUGCAAAAAUUAGUAUCUCGUGGUUAUUUAGGUUCUGUUAAAAUAGAAACAAAUUUUUAUUAUCUUGCUUGUUAAACUGGGAAAUAACAUGUGUUAUCUGUUCAUAAUAAUAAUUCUUUUGCUACUGCACCUUUGACCUUGUUCACUCUGAUGUGUAGGGUCCUCUCCCAUUUCCUCUACUAGUGUAGUUUUUGGAUAUCUUGUCAUUUUUGUCAUUGAUGAUAUUCUCUAUAUAUAUGGAUUUAUCCUUAUACACAUAAGAUCUGAGUUACUUUGGAUUUAUGAUGAAUUUCAAAAAGGGUUCAAACGCAAUUUUUUUCGAAAAUUAAAAAUUUUCGUUCUAAUAUUGCUCAGAAUCUAACCAAACUAUUUUCUCAACAUUCUUAAACAAAUGGCACAUUCCCACACUCAUCAUUUCCGGUACUUCUUUACCAAAAUGGACGUUCCAGCACAAUUUUGGCACAUCUUGGAUACUAUUCCUGCCUUUCUCAUUUUUACCUAUCACUGAAUCCUUUUGGGGAGAAGCUGCCCUUACUGCUGUCUACACAUCAUUAGUUACCGACAACAUAUCCUCUUAUGAACGUCUAUAUAAUACUCCUCCUAAUUAUAACAUUUUUCGUAUGUUUGGGAGUUCAUGUUUUGUUCUUCUUCAACCUCAUGGACGCAAUAAGUUAGAACCUCGUUUCGACUUUGCUGUUUUUUAGGGUAUGGAAUUGAACAUAAGGGAUAUCGUUGUUAUGAUCUUAUCUCUAAACGUCUUUACAUUUCUUGACAUGUUGAAUUUUGGGAAGAUAUUAAGUUUUCGAAUAUUUUCAAAACACCUAUACCAUCUAGACUUGGCCACCCUCUUUUUACUGUCCCUUCAUUAUAUAUUAUCUCACCUGUUACUUUUCCCUUUUCUACAGGUUCUCUACCAUCACCAAGUCUCACAACCCUCGCCAUGGACAUUCCCAAUGCUUCCCCACUAGAGGCUUCGCCAUCCAUUUCUUGUCCUCCUACUCGUUGUUCCACCAGAGUCAGAACUGCACCCUCUCAUUUUUGUUAUUAUCAUUGUUAUUUUUCUCUUUCUACUUUGCCAUGAGCAUCGGCAUUUUAUGAGGCAUCCUCUAUCCUGAUUGGUAGAAAGCAAUAAAAAUGCGUAGAGUGCUCUUGAUACAACUCACACAGGGGCAUGGUUAACUUAUCGUCUACAACAUAAGUGAUGCAAAUAGGUGUAUAAGAUAAGACUCAGGCUGAUGGUACUGUUGAAAGGUACAAAAGCCAACGUCUGGCGCCGUGGACUUUACUUAGGGACUAUGGGAUGAUUAUGGGGCAGAUUUUUGCUCCUAUGCUUGCCUACCUCGUGUUCGUACUAUAUUGACUGUUGCACAGUUCGUUAGAUGGGUCUGUGCCAAAUAGAUAUGAAAAGGUUUCCUCAAUGGUGAUUUUACAAGAAAGAAGUAUAUAUGACUCAUCCCUUGGCUAUGUUCAUUCUCCUCAUAAGGUAUGCGUCAUUGUAGUGCUCUGUAUGGACUUAAGCCAAGCCCGCGAGAUGGUUUGAUAAAUUCGUUCCCAUAUCUUCUAAGCUGGGUUCUCUUUACCAAUUAUGAUUCAAACACUUCUUUCUCAAGAAGUCUACUGAGGGCAGGUUCUCUGUUACUAUAGGUUGAUGAUAUGAUUAUUAAUGGUUUAAUGAUCUGAAAUGUAUGCCGAUCUUAACAUUCUCAAUUGGCAAUUGGAACUGAAGAUUGGGCUAUUGAGUAUUCUUGGGCAUUGAAGUUUAUUCUUGGGCAUGAAAGUCAUCUAAAUCUGAUGGGGUAUUAUUGUCUCAAACCAAAUAUGAUCUGAUCUCUUAUUGAGCUGGACUACUGCCAACAAGACUGUCAACACUUCCCAUAGAGAACAAUGUUUCGGUUGACACUAUUAAUUGCGUGAACACUUUCGAUCCUAUUCUUUACUGCAGCUUGUAGGCUGAUUUAAUCUUAUGUUUACGGCGAGAAGAUAUCCUCAUGCUUGCAUAUGUCAGUCCAAUAUGGUCUAUCCUUCGGUCCAUCAUUAUGCUGUGCCAAACCUGCAAAUUUUAUGAAUGGUCAACAGUACAAUUUUCACAGACUUAUUUUCAUCACACUCCUUAGACUCUCCGGCCUAUUCGGAUGCUGAUGGGGCAGGUGAUCCCACUGAUCGACACUCCAG
rnacentral:lncRNA from 1 species